GAGGAAGUGUGUCGUGGACAUCCACAGGCCUGGCAGUGUGACGACGGAAAGUGUAUUCCUAUUAGCUGGCUUUGUGACGGUGCCGGGGACUGCCUGGACGGCUCCGAUGAGGGGAACUGUGAGAACUCCACGGCGUGCCCUGGCCAGAAAAUCCAGUGUCCGGGACAUUCUCAGUGUCACGAGGCUUGGGAACUCUGUGAUGUCCAUAGGGACUGUGAAGAUGGUCUCGAUGAAGCACGCUGCUCCCCGAACCGCUGCCUGGUGGGCCAGUGGCAGUGCAGGAACAAGGUGUGUGUCUCGGAUAGCUGGAGGUGCAAUGGGGUCAAUGACUGUGGGGACUCCUCGGACGAGGAUGCCUGUGCUUCCUGUCCAGAAGGCAUGGUUCGAUGUGAUGAAGGGAAAUGCAUCCUGGAAUCCCUGAUGUGUGAUGGGGAAGCAGACUGCACAGAUGGUGCUGAUGAACCCGUUACAUGUGGUGAGGACCCAAUUGUCGG
rnacentral:lncRNA from 1 species